UUUCAAAAACACGAUUUUACAGCUACGAUAAAGACGUGCGUCAUCUCGCCUACAUUCUGAUGACAACAGAGGCACUCGAACGUGCCCACCGCAAGCACUUAACCGUGGCCGCGUCUGGAAGCAGCGGAAAGGAGAAACCUACCCACGUCCACGCACAAGCACGAGCACGGGUCUCCCUCCCCAAAGGCGUCAUUUCACAAAUUACUACGCCAGCCGAGGAAGCUGGACCCAUCGGAGGCCGCGACCCGCGUCUCCAGCCCGACGCCCGCCGGAGCUGCCGGGCAUCGGCUCGGACCGCCGAAGGACGCCGAUCCCCGGGGGGCCCGGCCCCGCGGCGCCCCGCGAGCGGAAGGGCAGCUGCGGCGCCGAGGGGUCGGUGCUGGGUGCACAGUCUCCAUCACUCACCGUCGAGGCUCGGGGGAAUGUAAGUAAAAUCGGGGUGCAGGAGCAAAACGAGCACCCCGGCCCUGGUUUGGGACUCGUCGGCCGCCGCUCAGCGCCUCUUGCGUCGCAAUUCCGUCCCCCGACUCCGACCCCCGUCCCUGGGCCGCAGCUGUGGGAGCCAGCUCCGAGGUUGGAGGCGAGAGAGCUCCUCCGCCACCCCCACCCCCACCCCCACCCUCGCCCCGGGUGGGGCCGCCCUCCCGUUCCCUACGGGUGGUUGUCCAAGUCCAGCGUGCAUCUCCCGGAGGGCUUGAUAAAACACGGAUUGAUAGCCCCGGGUGCGUUUCAGGGCUGCGGUGUUCCCCGAGAGCCAGCAAAUUGGCAAAUGUGACAAACUGCCAGGAGACGCAGAUGCUACUGGGCCUGGACCACGCUGCACACUCACUGCCCCGCUUCACCAGGGGCCCGGCGUCCAGCGGGGGGCCAGGGCUGUGUCAUCCGAACGUACCAGAAAAGCAGCCUGUCCGCUUGGGACACAGGACCUUGAACAGGACAGGUGCCAGGCGUAAAUGGAAGGCGAGCUUGGCAAAUUGACUGAUACAGAGUCGGGUUCCAGGACUGUAAUAUCGUUUCCAGCGAGCUACGGACAGAAAACAAACCUGAGACUUUGGGAAUGGGCUCACCCAGGCAGGUGCUCAAUUGUCCAACUUGGUUGGCUUUCUGGAAGGAAAGAGAGAGACUAAAAUGUAGGGAUUCUUAACCUGUUUUUGGUGCCAUGGCCGUCUUGUGAGGCCCAUGGACCCCUUCCCAGAAUAAUGCUUUAAGCGCAUAAAAUAAAACAUUGAGGAUUAUAAAGCAAACUACGCUUCUCGAAAUUAAAAACAAACGUUGAUAACAUA